AUACGGAGGGUGCAAGCGUUAUUCGGAAUCACUGGGCGUAAAGCGCGCGUAGGCGGCUUAUUAAGUCAGAUGUGAAAUCCCCGGGCUCAACCUGGGAACUGCAUCUGAUACUGGUAAGCUAGAGUUUUGGAGAGGGAAGUAGAAUUUCAGGUGUAGCGGUGAAAUGCAUAGAGAUCUGAAGGAAUACCAGUGGCGAAGGCGACUUCCUGGCCAAAAACUGACGCUGAGGUGCGAAAGCGUGGGUAGCAAACGGGAUUAGAAACCCUAGUAGUCC
rnacentral:rRNA from 1 species